UGACCCCAGGUGGCCUCAGGGUGUCCCCAGGGUGGCCCUGGGGCCGUGGGGUGACCCCAAGUGGCCUUAGAGUGUCCUCAGGGUGGCCCUGGGGCCGUGGGGUGACCAUGGAGUGUCCUCAGGGUGGCCCUGGGGCCAUGGGGUGACCUUAGAGUGUCCUCAGGGUGGUCUUGGAGUGUCCAUGAGGCAGUGGGGUGUCCACAGGAUGACCACAGGGCCAUGAGGUGGCCAUGGAGUGUCCACAGGGUGGCCUUGGGGCCAUGGGGUGGCCUUGGGGUGUCCAUGAGGUGACCUUGAGGUAUCCCCAGGGUGACCCAUGGACUUUGAGGUGUCCACAGGGUGGCCUUGGAGCCAUGGGGUGUCCAUGGGGUGACCUCGAGGUAUCCCCAGGGUGACCCA